rnacentral:rRNA from 1 species
ACUCCUACGGGAGGCAGCAGUGGGGAAUAUUGCACAAUGGGGGAAACCCUGAUGCAGCCAUGCCGCGUGUGUGAAGAAGGCCUUCGGGUUGUAAAGCACUUUCAGUAGGGAGGAAGGUAGUGUAGUUAACACCUGCAUUAUUUGACGUUACCUACAGAAGAAGCACCGGCUAACUCCGUGCCAGCAGCCGCGGUAAUACGGAGGGUGCGAGCGUUAAUCGGAAUUACUGGGCGUAAAGCGCAUGCAGGCGGCCUGUUAAGUCAGAUGUGAAAGCCCGGGGCUUAACCUCGGAAUUGCAUUUGAAACUGGCAGGCUAGAGUCUUGUAGAGGGGGGUAGAAUUUCAGGUGUAGCGGUGAAAUGCGUAGAGAUCUGAAGGAAUACCAGUGGCGAAGGCGGCCCCCUGGACAAAGACUGACGCUCAGAUGCGAAAGCGUGGGGAGCGAAACAGGAUUAGAUACCCUGGUAGGAUAGCG